AGGGCACCACCAGGAGUGGAGCCUGCGGUUUAAUUUGACUCAACACGGGAAAACUCACCCGGCCCGGACACCGUAAGGAUUGACAGACUGAGAGCUCUCUCUUAAUUCGGUGGGUGGUGGUGCAUGGCCGUUCUUAGUUGGUGGAGCGAUUUGUCUGGUUAAUUCCGAUAACGAACGAGACUCUGGCCUAUUAAAUAGACGGUAUAUCUAGAAAAAGUAUACCGCGCUUCUUAGAGGGACAACCGGCGUCUAGCCGCGUGAAAUAGAGCAAUAACAGGUCUGUGAUGCCCUUAGAUGUCCGGGGCUGCACGCGCGCUACACUGAAAGAAUCAGUAUGCGCCGUCGCCUAGUUCGGAAGAACCGGGUAACCCGAGCAAAUUCCUUCGUGCUUGGGAUAGGGAAUUGCAAUUAUUUCCCUUAAACGAGGAAUUCCCAGUAAACGCGGGUCAUAAGCUCGCGUUGAUUACGUCCCUGCCCUUUGUACACACCGCCCGUCGCUACUACCGAUUGGAUGACUUA
rnacentral:rRNA from 1 species